rnacentral:lncRNA from 1 species
ACGUACAGGCAGUGAACUACUAGGAAAGGUUACCAUGUUUUGACUAAACUUAAGCCUAAAAAUAUGAUGAAUUAAAGCGAGGACUUAGCUUUUAGUUCAGACUCUGAAAUUUCCAUGAAUUAAUUCCGAACCGUAGCUUCACUUUUGGAGAGUUGCAAAGACACUUGAGGGACUCUGACGGUGGUUUCAAGGUAUGAGUGGUGAAAGGCCUGAGGUGGUGUGUUUUGGGUGGUUUGGUGGUUGGUGAGAUUCUGGCCAGGUUUUCAAACUAAUAUCUGAGGUGUUUGGUGCUGAUUCGAGGCAAGGUACUUACAAAUCUAGGGUGGUGGGGCUAGAGGAACCUAGGGUGUU